AUUGAACGCUGGCGGCAUGCUUUACACAUGCAAGUCGAACGGUAACAGGGUGCUUGCACCUGGUGGCGAGUGGCGAACGGGUGAGUAAUACAUCGGAACGUACCCAGUUGUGGGGGAUAACUAACCGAAAGGUUAGCUAAUACCGCAUACGACCUGAGGGUGAAAGCGGGGGACCGUAAGGCCUCGCGCAAUUGGAGCGGCCGAUGUCUGAUUAGCUAGUUGGUGAGGUAAAGGCUCACCAAGGCGACGAUCAGUAGCUGGUCUGAGAGGAUGAUCAGCCACACUGGAACUGAGACAAGGUCCAGACUCCUACGGGAGGCAGCAGUGGGGAAUUUUGGACAAUGGGGGAAACCCUGAUCCAGCCAUUCCGCGUGAGUGAAGAAGGCCUUCGGGUUGUAAAGCUCUUUCGGCAGGGAAGAAACGCUCUGGCUUAAUACGCCGGGGUAAUGACGGUACCUGAAGAAGAAGCACCGGCUAACUACGUGCCAGCCGCCGCAGUAACAC
rnacentral:rRNA from 1 species